UGAGGUCUGAAGGGCUGGGCUACUCAUGCUCUUUUCCCCGUUAUCCUUCACAGGCAUUCUUCCAACAAAUCAAACCCUUACCUAAUUUCAUCUCUGUGUCUGCUUCUUGGAAGACCCAAACUGACACAGAGUCAAUCAUAUAAAUGUGGAAUUUCAGUUUGGCAUGGUGAAUACUGUGUGACACAGGUAGCCACAGAGAGAUCUGGGAGCAUAGACAAGGAGCACCUCAAACAGAAUCCAGGGAAGGGAAGCUUCAGGGGACAUUAGGGCAUGAGACGAGGCUGCUCUGUGAAAGAUGCAAGGUUCAUUUCAUUUGUCUCCACCUUCCUAAAAGUACUUUACACACAUAUGUGGAGCCUGAAUUUUUGUCCCACACACCCACAAACUUAUUUUAUCAUUGGUGGUUCAAUUUUCCACACUUGAAGUCCAAUUUGAAAAACAGGAGUUCCAGGUGGGAGUUCAAAAUAUCCCCUCUAUUACUAAAAGAUAGAAGGCUGAGAUUUCCUUUGUUUUUUUUUUUUCACUGUAGAAUGUCUAGCUGCAUCCCUAUCCUCUACCACUAGAUACUAGUAGCAACCCUCCC
rnacentral:lncRNA from 10 species